rnacentral:rRNA from 1 species
GACGAACGCUGGCGGCGUGCUUAACACAUGCAAGUCGAACGGGCCUUGUCCCCUUUUUUUUUGGGGGUGGGGUUAGUGGCGAACGGGUGAGUAACACGUGAGUAACCUGCCCCUCACUUCUGGAUAACCGCUUGAAAGGGUGGCUAAUACGGGGUGUUCUGGCCUGCUCGCAUGGGUGGGUUUGGAAAGAUUCGACCGGUUUGGUUGUUUUGUUGGGGGAUGGGCUCGAGGCCUAUCAGCUUGUUGGUGGGGUGAUGGCCUGCCAAGGCUUUGACGGGUAGCCGGCAUGGGGGGGUGGGGGGUCCAAAGGGGAAGGAGAAACGGCCAAGACGCCAACGGGAGGCAGCAGGGGGGAAUAUUGCACAAUGGGGGCAAGCCUAAUGCAGCAACGCGGCGGGAGGGAUGGAGGCCUUCGGGUUGUAAACCUCUUUGGCCAGUGAAGAAGGUCCUGCUUUUUGGGGGGGGUUGACGGUAGCUGGGUUAAUGAAGCGCCGGCUAACUACGUG